rnacentral:misc_RNA from 1 species
AAGUCGUAACAAGGUUUCUGUAGGUGAACCUGCAGAAGGAUCAUUAGUGAAGAUUCAAGGCCAGCCAUACAGACGUACAAUAAGUGUGUCUCUGGCGGCUCGUAUCCACUAUACAUCCAUAAACCCGUGUGCACUGUUAAGGAGUAAGAAAGAAGGGGAGGGAGAUGAGUGCAUGUGCUUUUGCAUAUAACUCUCUCUCUUUCUCUUCCUUUCUCUCUCUGGUUAAUUACACAAACUCGUAUGGAUUUGUAUGAACGUGAGAUAUAUCGUUGGACCGUCACUGGCCAACAAAUAUAACACAA